rnacentral:rRNA from 1 species
UUGCUCCCUGAUGUUAGCGGCGGACGGGUGAGUAACACGUGGGUAACCUGCCUGUAAGACUGGGAUAACUCCGGGAAACCGGGGCUAAUACCGGAUGCUUGUUUGAACCGCAUGGUUCAAACAUAAAAGGUGGCUUCGGCUACCACUUACAGAUGGACCCGCGGCGCAUUAGCUAGUUGGUGAGGUAAUGGCUCACCAAGGCAACGAUGCGUAGCCGACCUGAGAGGGUGAUCGGCCACACUGGGACUGAGACACGGCCCAGACUCCUACGGGAGGCAGCAGUAGGGAAUCUUCCGCAAUGGACGAAAGUCUGACGGAGCAACGCCGCGUGAGUGAUGAAGGUUUUCGGAUCGUAAAGCUCUGUUGUUAGGGAAGAACAAGUACCGUUCGAAUA